rnacentral:rRNA from 1 species
UACAGGGGGGGCGAGCGUGUUCGGAAUUACUGGGCGUAAAGGGUUCGUAGGUGGCUAGCUAAGUCAGACGUGAAAUCCCUCAGCUUAACUGGGAACUGGCGUCUGAUACUGGCUGGCUUGAGUGCAGGAGAGGAACGCGGAAUUCCAGGUGUAGCGGUGAAAUGCGUAGAUAUCUGGAGGAACACCGGUGGCGAAGGCGGCGAUCUGG